UUAAUAUACCUAUUGGGAAUGUUGUAAGGGCUCUUUGAUUAUUUGUCCCCAAAUAUCCUUCCAGUGGUUGGAUCUAUUCCUACAUAUUUGCUGACUUUAAAAUAAGCCAUGCAUGACGGAAAAUUCCAGGGUAGUAGAAUUUGCAAACCACAUCGGUGCCAAAGGUUGAUUUCUAAGCUUGGGGUUUCUUACGGAGCCUGGCAACGUGAAGAGAUUUGCCAACCUAGCUAGAGAGAUCUGUGAGCCUGAGUUGCCCUGUUCACUUCCCUUUCCACUCUUUUCUCUUCCUCAGGCCCAUUUUCCAUGGUGGUUCCUCAAUGCGGUUGCUUUCCUUCCUCCUCCCCUCUUCCUUCUUCCCCUUUCACUAACCCACCCCUUCUCCCUCCCUCCUUUCCUCUUCCCUCCACCUACUCCUCCCCAUCCCCCAGCCCCCCUUCUCACCACCGCUUAUAAUGGCUCACGGGGCUCCCUCUGAGGUGGACGGCCCGGACGGUUUGUGACCUCUUGACACGUGGGAGUCAGCAGAUCCGGUGCUGAGACAUCCAGGUAUUUCCAGUGAUUCUGUAACAAAUGAAGUCUGCCCUCCCUAGAGCCAACUUGUCUAUAAUCUCUUCCUAACAGCAGUGAUGUCAAGAGAAGGGAGUUUAUCUGUGUUCUUCUGCAGGUCAAUAGGAUUGAAUUUUGCACACUUCACUUCAUGAGCAGCUGAAAUGUCGGAGACAAGCAUAUAAUAAAACUACCUGGAAUAUCAGAAGGCCCCAAUAUUAUGUUCCAUUUUAUUACUCGACAAUUACCUGACGAACUAUGUCUUCAGCAUUCCAAUGUAGACUGAAGAUCGGUGGCUCUCUAGAAUUUCCCUGGAACCACAGACCAGAUUAAGAGUACUGAAACAUCUACAGAAUUGUUGAAGAAUCUGGACCACAGCCUGAAGAAUGCUGUUGUUCUUGAUCCUGGGAUGGCUGCUGUGGUUAUUUGUCUAUCAUUUUUCUAUUUCAUACGCAUGUGUAUGUGCACAUGUUCAUACAUGGCAUAUGUGUGUGCACGUGUCAGCAGUUGAUAUAGAAAGUCGGUCUUUGAACCCACACACCUAUGGGCACUUGAUUUUUGACAAAGGAGCCAAAACCAUCAAAUGGAAAAAACAUAGCAUUUUGAGCAAAUGGUACUGGUUCAACUGGAGGUCAACAUGUAGAAGAAUGCAGAUCGAUCCAUGCUUAUCACCCUGUACAAAGCUUAAGUCCAAGUGGAUCAAGGACCUCCACAUCAAACCAGACACACUCAAACUAAUAGAAGAAAAACUAGGGAAGCAUCUGGAACACAUGGGCCCUGGAAAAAAUUUCCUGAACAAAACACCAAUGGCUUAUGCUCUAAGAUCAAGAAUCGACAAAUGGGAUCUCAUAAAACUGCAAAGCUUCUGUAAGGCAAAGGACACUGUGGUUAGGACAAAAUGGCAACCAACAGAUUGGGAAAAGAUCUUUACCAAUCUUACAACAGAUAGAGGCCUUAUAUCCAAAAUAUACAAAGAACUCAAGAAGUUAGACCGCAGGGAGACAAAUAACCCUAUUAAAAAAUGGGGUUCAGAGCUAAACAAAGAAUUUACAGCUGAGGAAUGCCGAAUGGCUGAAAAACACCUAAAGAAAUGUUCAACAUCUUUAGUCAUAAGGGAAAUGCAAAUCAAAACAACCCUGAGAUUUCACCUCACACCAGUGAGAAUGGGUAAGAUCAAAAACUCAGGUGACAGCAGAUGCUGGCAAGGAUGCUGAGAAAGAGGAACACUCCUCCAUUGUUGGUGGGAUUACAAACUGGUACAACCAUUCUGGAAAUCAGUCUGGAGGUUCCUCAGAAAAUUGGACAUUGAACUGCCUGAGGAUCCAGCUAUACCUCUCUUGGGCAUAUACCCACAAGAUGCCCCAACAUAUAAAAAAGACACGUGCUCCACUAUGUUCAUCGCAGCCUUAUUUGUAAUAGCCAGAAGCUGGAAAGAACCCAGAUGCCCUUCAACAGAGGAAUGGAUACAGAAAAUGUGGUACAUCUACACAAUGGAAUAUUACUCAGCUAUCAAAAACAAUGACUUUAUGAAAUUCGUAGCCAAAUGGUCAGAACUGGAACAUAUCAUCCUGAGUGAGGUAACCCAAUCACAGAAAAACACACAUGGUAUGCACUCAUUGAUAAGUGGCUAUUAGCCCAAAUGCUUGAAUUACCCUAGAUCCCUAGAACAAAUGAAACUCAAGACAGAUGAUCAAAAUGUGAAUGCUUCACUCCUUCUUUAAAAGGGGAACAAGAAUACCCUUGGUGGGGAAUAGAGAGGCAAAGAUUAAAACAGACACAGAAGGAAACACCCAUUCAGAGCCUGCCCCACAUGUGGCCCAUACAUAUACAGCCAUCCAAUUAGACAAGAUGGAUGAAGCAAAGAAGUGCAGGCCGACAGGAGCUGGAUAUAGCUCGCUCCUGAGAGACACAGCCAGAAUACAGCAAAUACAGAGGUGAAUGCCAGCAGCAAACCACUGAACUGAGAAUAGAACCCCCGUUGAAGGAAUCAGAGAAAGAACUGGAAGAGCUUGAAGGGGCUCGAGACCCCAUAUGUACAACAAUGCCAAGCAACCAGAGCUUCCAGGGACUAAGCCACUACCUAAAGACUAUACAUGGACUGACCCUGGACUCUGACCUCAUAGGUAGCAAUGAAUAUCCUAGUAAGAGCACCAGUGGAAGGGGAAGCCCUGGGUCCUGCUAAGACUGAACCCCCAGUGA